rnacentral:rRNA from 1 species
AGUGAACGCUGGCGGUAGGCCUAACACAUGCAAGUCGAACGGCAGCACAGUAAGAGCUUGCUCUUACGGGUGGCGAGUGGCGGACGGGUGAGGAAUACAUCGGAAUCUACUUUUUCGUGGGGGAUAACGUAGGGAAACUUACGCUAAUACCGCAUACGACCUACGGGUGAAAGCAGGGGAUCUUCGGACCUUGCGCGAUUGAAUGAGCCGAUGUCGGAUUAGCUAGUUGGCGGGGUAAAGGCCCACCAAGGCGACGAUCCGUAGCUGGUCUGAGAGGAUGAUCAGCCACACUGGAACUGAGACACGGUCCAGACUCCUACGGGAGGCAGCAGUGGGGAAUAUUGGACAGUGGGCGCAAGCCUGAUCCAGCCAUACCGCGUGGGUGAAGAAGGCCUUCGGGUUGUAAAGCCCUUUUGUUGGGAAAGAAAAGCAGCAGGUUAAUACCCCGCUGUCCUGACGGUACCCAAAGAAUAAGCACCGGCUAACUUCGUG